rnacentral:rRNA from 1 species
AUUGAACGCUGGCGGCAGGCCUAACACAUGCAAGUCGAGCGGAGCGGCGGACGGGUGAGUAAUGCCUAGGAAUCUGCCUGGUCGUGGGGGAUAACGUCCGGAAACGGGCGCUAAUAACGCAUACUAUCAGAUGAGCCUAGGUCGGCUGAGCUAGUCGUGGGGGUAACGGCUCAACUAGGCGACGAUCCCUAGCUGGUCUGAGAGGAUGACCGGCCAACCUGGAACGUAGACACGGUCCAUACUCCUACGGGAGGCAGCAGUGGGGAAUAUUGCACAAUGGGCGCAAGCCUGAUUCAGCCAUGCCGCGUGGGUGAAGAAGGCCUUCGGGUUGUAAAGCACUUUCAGCGGGGAGGCGUUACCCGCAGAAGAAGCACCGGCUAACUCCGUGCCAGCAGCCGCGGUAAUUC